GUGCCUAAUACAUGCAAGUCGAGCGAGCGGAACCAACAGAUUUACUUCGGUAAUGACGUUGGGAAAGCGAGCGGCGGAUGGGUGAGUAACACGUGGGGAACCUGCCCCUAAGUCUGGGAUACCAUUUGGAAACAGGUGCUAGUACCGGAUAAUAAAGCAGAUCGCAUGAUCAGCUUUUGAAAGGCGGCGUAAGCUGUCGCUAAGGGAUGGCCCCGCGGUGCAUUAGCUAGUUGGUAAGGUAACGGCUUACCAAGGCGACGAUGCAUAGCCGAGUUGAGAGACUGAUCGGCCACAUUGGGACUGAGACACGGCCCAAACUCCUACGGGAGGCAGCAGUAGGGAAUCUUCCACAAUGGACGCAAGUCUGAUGGAGCAACGCCGCGUGAGUGAAGAAGGUUUUCGGAUCGUAAAGCUCUGUUGUUGGUGAAGAAGGAUAGAGGUAGUAACUGGCCUUUAUUUGACGGUAAUCAACCAGAAAGUCACGGCUAACUACGUGCCAGCAGCCGCGGUAAUACGUAGGUGGCAAGCGGUUGUCCGGAUUUAUUGGGCGUAAAGCGAGCGCAG
rnacentral:rRNA from 1 species